GUCACUAGUAAUAGACCCCGAACCGGGAUGAUCUAACCAUGGUCAGGUUGAAGCUCAGGUAAUACUGAGUGGAGGACCGAACCGACUGAUGUUGAAAAAUCAGCGGAUGAAUUGUGGUUAGGGGUGAAAUGCCAAUCGAAUUCGGAGCUAGCUGGUUCUCCCCGAAAUGCGUUUUGGCGCAGCGGUAAAUGUUAUAAUCUAGGGGUAAAGCACUGUUACGUAUGCGGGCUGGUAAUUCGGUACCAAAUCGUUGCAAACUAAGAAUACUAGAUGUAUAGUUUACCAGUAAGACUGUGGGGGAUAAGCUCCAUUGUCAAGAGGGAAACAGCCCAGAGCACCAGUUAAGGCCCUUAAAUAAUUACUAAGUGGUAAAGGAGGUGGGAGUGCAUAAACAAUCAGGAGGUUUGCUUAGAAGCAGCAAUCCUUUAAAGAGUGCGUAAUAGCUCACUGAUCGAGUAAACCUGCGCCGAAAAUGUAUGGGACUAAGUAAUUUGCCGAAACUGUGCGAUAUAUAUUUAUAUAUCGGUAGGGGAGCGUUCUGUUGUAGGUCGAAGUAUUAGCGUAAGCGGAUAUGGACGAAGCAGAAGUGAGAAUGUCGGCUUGAGUAACGAAAAUAUAGGUGAGAAUCCUAUACCCCGAAAACCCAAGGUUUCCUCCGGAAGGCUCGUCCGCGGAGGGUAAGUCAGGACCUAAGGCGAGGCUGAAAAGCGUAGUCGAUGGACAACGGGUUAAUAUUCCCGUACCAUUUUUUAUUGAUAUCGAGGGACGGAGAAGGCUAAGCUAGCCGGAUAUUGGUUUUACCGGUUUAAACGUUCGAGAUGUUGAGAAGCGGCGAAAACGCUUUGAGUUGAGACGUGAAUACGAGACGCUAAGGCGUCGAAGUAGUGUAUGUCAUACUUCCAAGAAAAGCUUGCACUGUCAUAAAUAAAAAAUGCCUGUACCAUAACCGACACAGGUGGGUAGGUAGAGUAUACUAAGGGGCGCGAGAUAACUCUCUCUAAGGAACUCGGCAAAAUAACUCCGUAACUUCGGGAGAAGGAGUGCCUUAUUCUUAAGGUUGCAAUAACAAGAUCCAAGCAACUGUUUAUCAAAAACACAGGUCUCCGCUAAGUCGUAAGACGAUGUAUGGGGGCUGACGCCUGCCCAGUGCCAGAAGGUUAAAGAAGUUGGUUAGCAAUUGCGAAGCUGGUAACUGAAGCCCUGGUGAACGGCGGCCGUAACAAUAACGGUCCUAAGGUAGCGAAAUUCCUUGUCGGGUAAGUUCCGACCUGCACGAAUGGCGUAACGACUUCCCCACUGUCUCCAACAUAGACUCAGCGAAAUUGAAUUCC
rnacentral:rRNA from 1 species